rnacentral:rRNA from 1 species
UACGUAGGGGGCAAGCGUUAUCCGGAUUUAUUGGGUUUAAAGGGUGCGUAGGCGGACUAUUAAGUCAGUGGUGAAAGCCCCAGCUUAACUUGGGAACUGCCAUUGAUACUGAUGGUCUUGAGUACAUUUGAGGUGGGCGGAAUGUGUCAUGUAGCGGUGAAAUGCUUAGAUAUGACACAGAACACCGAUUGCGAAGGCAGCUCACUAAACUGUAACUGAC